ACAAGCUAUAGGUAUUGAGACCAAUACUUGGUCAAACCGCUAUUUACAACCUUGGUUAGAAGGAUGGAUUUAAAGGACCUGGCAGAAACAAAGUAGAAGUUGACAGAAAACAUAGGAACAAAGACUAAGAGGACCUGGCAGAUCCACUCUCAAAAUUUCACAUAAAGCCCCUUCCUUUAUUUUCCCUAUCAAGCUUAAAAUUUGCGAUAAAUAAGACUGUUGAUAGACAAAUAGAGUAAUUAAUAAGUUUGGAUUAGCUAUUUCAUACACAAAGCCUCCAUAAAGCAGAAAAAGUAAAUGAAAUAUAAACAACUGAUGGCAAAAAUGAUCAUAGAUAUAGAGAUGUUUGGCACAUGUUGGAUAUCAUGAUUUUCACCCGAAAUUGACCCUUCAAGACCACCACCUCACACCACCAGCAUCACAUAACAUUCCUACCACCAACACAACCUGCUUCAGACCCCAUCUUGCCUGCGGCUCUGCACCACCAUUUGCCCCGACCAUGGGUGCCACUUCUCACCACACAGCCAAUGCUACCAUUUGUGCAUCUUAGCAGUGCUCACAUCACCAGCAGUCCUCCAUUACAUCACAACACACUCCUGCUCUCUGUCCAAUGUCACACCAUCUGUAUCCACAGUGCCCCUCUCUUCCAGUCUCCUGGAUUGGCAUCAAGGCCAACCUCAGUAGGUCAGCCAUAGAUAUAGUUGCCAGCACAUACUUACCCAUCCGAAUCAUUCCCAACCCCACCUUAUAGUGUACUAAGUGUUAGCUAUUUCCUUGUGCUGCUAUUUGUAGGUAAAUGAAACUUCUCGAAUUUGAUAAGGCCUCAACAAAGCUAGUCCCAGGAGGUACCAGAUGGUCUACACCUUGAUGUCCUCUCUCUAUCUCCUGCAAUAGAAGAUGCAGCAAGAAUGCAGCCAUAACUUUCAAAGAAAAUGAAGAUAAUGUAUCCAUCAGAUUUUCAAUAUAGUGUCUCCUCACAUCACAGGAUAGAUGAAUAUAUAUAAAGAGCCACAAUUGAAUGGAGGUCAAAAUGGUGGCAUCAAU
rnacentral:lncRNA from 1 species